rnacentral:pre_miRNA from 1 species
CGCAUCCGAACUUCUUACUGUGCAGGUGCAAAUUUAUCGACCGUCUGUUCUGUUUGAAAUUUUUGUGAUUGGAAUUCUUUUUUAUUUAAUAGGCGAUGAAACAUAAAUAGUAAUUUAUGCGUAUUUUUUAAAUUUCUAUUAUAAAUUUUUCAAAUAAGACGAACGAUUAAAUUUUGGGCACGUAAACCCGUAACUGUGUUUAAA